AACGUAGGUACCGAGCGUUAUCCGGAUUUACUGGGCGGAAAGCGCGUUCAGGCGGUUUGGCAAGUCGGGCAUGAAAUCUCUCGGCUCAACCGGGAGAGGUUGUCCGAUACUGCUGGACUGGAGGGCAGUAGAGGGUGGUGGAAUUCCCGGUGUAGCAGUGAAAUGCGUAGAGAUCGGGAGGAACAUCUGUGGCGAAGGCGACUGCCUGGACCAGCACUGACACUGAGGCACGAAAGCGUGGGGAGCAAACAGG
rnacentral:rRNA from 1 species